AGUGAACGCUGGCGGUAGGCCUAACACAUGCAAGUCGAACGGCAGCACAGUAAGAGCUUGCUCUUACUGGUGGCGAGUGGCGGACGGGUGAGGAAUACAUCGGCAUCUACUUUUUCGUGGGGGAUAACGUAGGGAAACUUACGCUACUACCGCAUACUACCUACGGGUGAAAGCAGGGGAUCUUCGCACCUUGCGCGAUUGAAUUAGCCGAUGUCGGAUUAGCUAGUUGGCGGGGUAAAGGCCCACCAAGGCGACGAUCCGUAGCUGGUCUGAGAGGAUGAUCAGCCACACUGGAACUGAGACACGGUCCAGACUCCUACGGGAGGCAGCAGUGGGGAAUAUUGGACAAUGGGCGCAAGCCUGAUCCAGCAAUACCGCGUGGGUGAAGAAGGCCUUCGGGUUGUAAAGCCCUGUUGUUGGGAAAGAAAAGAAGCAGGUUAAUACCCCGCUGUUCUGACGGUACCCAAAGAAUAAGCACCGGCUAACUUCGUG
rnacentral:rRNA from 1 species